AUAGUCUAAAAAUCUUAAGUUGAUGUCUGCUAAGACCAAGCAAGGACGAGUAUCAAAACUUGCAGGAGUGUCAGUAGCUUGUAAGAAAAUUCCAGAAAAAAAAUAGUGGAACAUUUUUCUAAAUUUUUCAACUUUUUAUUGAUGUGUAAUAUAUACAUAAAGAAAAGUUCAAGUACUGUUAAGUGUACUUAAGCUCAAUACAUCCCUGUUAUCAGCAUCCAAACGAAGAAACAGAACGUUACCGACGCCUUGGAAGCCUCCUUUAUGAGUGGAGAACUCAAGAAAUGCUGCAUCACCAAGGUUCUUAAUGGCACACAGAGUGACGUGUGGAAAAACAUGGGCAUCUAUGAUGCCACAUCAAACGGUAGUUCAGAAGAGUCUAAUUUUGAAUGCAAAGAAGCUUAUGCAGCACCUUAACCAAUUGGUUUCACUUUUUAAAACAUGUACAAGAGUAGCUGGAGACCCAGGAGAGCCAGUGGUAUGAUUCACUCCAAGUCUGAAGGCCUGAGAACAGGAGUGCCAACGUCCCAGGACCGAAGAUGGAUGUCCCAGCUUAAGCAAAAAGAGCAAAUUUGCCCUUCCUCUCCCUUUUUUUCUCUUCAGGCCCUCAAGGGAUUGGAUGAUGCCCAUCCACACUGGUGAGAGUGAUCUUCUUUGCUCAGUCUACCAAUUCAAAUGCUCUCUAUUCUGGAAACAUCCUCACAGACACACUAGGAAAUAAUGUUUUACCGGCUAGCUAUCUGGGCAUCCCUUAGCCCAGUCAAGUUGACACAUAAAAUUAAUCAUCAGAAAAUAUUUUGUAACGUUGCUAUAAAAUGUUUAUACUAAACAUCUUUUUAAAAAUUCUAAUAAAACCUCUAGUUCCAUUCUUAGCAUAUCCAAUUUUGGUGUACCUGCUAUUCCUAAUAUCUAAGUUAACAUGAGAUCCAGGAGUGCUUUAAAAGGGAAUUUGACCAAGGGUUAAAGGAAAAUUAAGGACAAAAUGGGAACCUAAUUCUGCAAAAUGUUACAAAAGGGGAAGUUUAAAGGAAUUACAUGGAAAGUAAACCAAUAAAUUAUAUUUCACAACUUCUUGUUUUAAGGAUACUUGAAUCUUCCUCUUUCAGAAAAUUUUAUAAAGAUUUUACCAUUCUGUGAUAUUUUCAAACAUACAGGAAAAUAUAGAAAAUAACAAAACAGAUACCAAUCUCCCAGAUUUAUUCAAUGUUAAUUUUUGCCAUUUUUUUUUAUUUUAAAGAAAUAGAACAUUAAGAGUGUAAAGCCCCACUUAGCCAUUUUUCCUCCCUUCUUGGGAUAAUGAUUAUCUUGAAAUUAAUACCUAUCACUCCUUUAGUCAUUUUU